AGAAAAUGACCCAUCAAAGAGUCAUCAUCAUGGGGAUCAUUGCUGUUCUAAACAGGAUCAUGGAGGAGAAGCUAGUACGAGUUUUUCGGAAGAUCACUGAUGUAUUUGACUUGUAAGUUUGUUGAACUUUUUGUUAAGAAGGAAAAAAAUGUUAUUUUUGGGGUAAAUUUGUUAAUUGGUAUUAUUUGAGAUCUUCUGUUGUUGGGAAUCUGAUUGAAAUUUAUGUUUCGAUGACAUGAAGUUGAACAAUUGAUAUUAGUGUUACUUCUUAUACUAUUCUGCUUGUAAGAAAAAAAUUUCAUUUUUGAAGUAAAUUUGUUAAUUGGUAUUAU
rnacentral:misc_RNA from 1 species